GGUAAAAGUCAGCAGACGUCGCAGCAGGUGCCACCAUUUUUUUUUCACGACGCCCCUCCGAGCGGCAGCAUCCGCGAAGCGCCGAUUGAUUUGUGUGAGAUGUUUCCUAUUGUUCAGGCUCAGGAGGUUUAGCACCGGGCUGAUUAACUAAUGGAGGGAUUUAAUCCCAGGUGGGAGUCAGACACCGGGGUCCGGAGCACAAUGAGCAGCCGUCACUUGACCCCAAACUAAAUGCAGAGUAGUAAAAAGUUCGUCGCCGCACGGACGUCAUCUGUGCUUUAGAGGAGCUUUAGAGGAGCGGACUGGACGGGACGGUCCAGCUGGUCCGAGAACAGAAUAAUACACAAACAAGGUUAGCCAAAAGGCUUUGUGGAUCCUUUUAGUGUUUGGCAUUGAAGACGACAGAGAGCUGCCCUCGGAUUUGACCGGAUGAACGAUAUAACGAUCAGGUGUAGCAAACUGCAGUCGCCUCUCAGGGCGAAACGGCGGCUUUGUCGUGUCGGCCAAAUGCGGCCAGCUUUUUAAAAAAAUAGAACGAUUUUUCUGAUUUUCCUUGGAGAAAAAAAAAACGGACGUCAAGCUUCGGACGUUGAUCGGGUCGAGGUUCUCCUCUUCCUCUGGUGUCGGGGAGAAAACCCCCCCCCCGAGUCCAAACAGGAGUACCUUCAGGUCAGAGAACAAAUGGCUUGAAGGCCUCAUGUGGCCCCUUUGACCACAACACAUGGCCCCUUUUGUCCCCCCGCGUGCCACUCAGCCACAGGGCGAAGCGACCGGAAGCUGCUGCCACGGGCCGUCUGAGGGGGAAAGGGUUUGAACCUGUGAACUGAUGGGGCCCGAUCGCCGAGGCCAUUCACGCCGACAGGAGGGGCCGAAGAGGCGGUGGGCGGGGGGGCCUUUCACCCCGAGCUGAGGUGAGCUUUGCAGUGACAUCAGGGGAUUGGUGAUAUAAUCCUCUUGCUGUAAUUGGUUAGGUGAACUUCCAGCGGGCCUCUGUGGGCUCCACUGCCCCGCGCAGCCGGAGGAACGGUUUACACAUCACACCGGCUUUAUUCUGCAAUGUGGUGGAUGGCGGCGGCUGGGAACUUUCAUGGCCAUGCUGACAAUGAGUUGCUCUUUUAUUCAUCUAUUCUAUUAUUCAGGUGCUGCUCCUGGCCGCCUCAUGUAGAGAUCCACCAGUGCAAGAGGAACAAAUGAAUAUAAAUAUUUCCAGUGACCAGCACGUCCGACUCUGUUACCACGGCGAUGUAUCCUCCAGACAGCACCCGCGGCACGAUUGAUCAAACGGCUGAUGGAAGCUGGCGGCGACACAAAGGGCGGCACAGUCACAGGUUUUUAAAUGUUUCCAUUCGGGGGACUCGGAUGAUGAUCCGGAACAUCGUCUGUUACGGUGGACGAGCAGGUGGAGGCUCCGUGACGAACAUUUGGAAACACGGUGGCCGUUUGUGUAACAUUUUGCUUAUUCAUCUUCCCAAAAAAAAGCAUCUUUGCAAAGAACGGAAGAGCCACUGACUAUUAGAAUAAAGCAAAUUUUACAAAAAGCUCAAGCGCCAUCUUUUACUGCAG
ensembl:lncRNA